UACGAAGGGGGCUAGCGUUGCUCGGAAUCACUGGGCGUAAAGCGCACGUAGGCGGAUUGGUAAGUCAGGGGUGAAAUCCUGGAGCUCAACUCCAGAACUGCCUUUGAUACUGGCGAUCUUGAGUCCGGGAGAGGUGAGUGGAACUGCGAGUGUAGAGGUGAAAUUCGUAGAUAUUCGCAAGAACACCAGUGGCGAAGGCGGCUCACUGGCCCGGUACUGACGCUGAGGUGCGAAAGCGUGGGGAGCAAACAGG
rnacentral:rRNA from 1 species